AUAAUGCGAUCUACGCGCUCACAAAUUCUAUUUUGUAAGUUACUUUCUUCAUUACAGUGAAAAUUUUACUCCAUAUAGUUAAGACACUUUACUAAAUGAUGCUUCUAUUUUAGGUGGCACGAUAGCUCUGUGCGAGCUGCAAUGCGAUCUACGCGCUCUCAAAUUCUACUUUUGGAGACGAUAGCUCUGUACGAGCUACAAUGCGAUCUACGCCUACACAAAU
rnacentral:misc_RNA from 1 species